rnacentral:lncRNA from 1 species
CAAAGAGUGAAGCUAGCCGGAUGCUUAAGGAAUCAACCGAGGCAGAUUAUCGACAUGGUGUCAAACCCCCGUAUCGGGGUGGAGUCGUUGCUGGUGACGGUCAUCAGUAAAGCACCAGCCCAGCAGAAGGCAGGGAGAGUCUGGCCGGGGAAGUGCUUCAGACUCUAGACAGAGAAGGCCUACAAGACAUAAAUGCAGAGAUACCAAAGCUGAGAGAGGUGCUGAGGAGUCUUAACGACAGUCAUACCAACAGAAUGGCCUCACAGUAUGUUAACAGAGCCACAGGGAUUCUGUCCCUCAUACAGACAUACAACAAAAAGAACAACGAAGAGAUGGUAAGUGUCACCAUUAAUGAAUUCUCUGUGAAUUAGUCU